GGUCAAAGGAUUACGGAAGGUGCAGAACUACUGGAGAAAAGUAACCAUUUCAAAAGUUCAUGGAGCUGGAUAGAUUUAAUCUGAAAUUUUCAAUUCUCACUGUACAUUCAUCAUUAGCAGCCUAUUGGAUCUAGAAUAUUUUCACCACUAGAGCAGAAGAAAAAGAUGUCCUCUACGUGGUAAAGCUUCCUGGGCAUUACCAAGCAAGGCCACAGAGAAGAGGACAAAAGAAGCUGCUGGUUUUCCAUGAGAUAAGGAAACUCAACUGUCCUUUGGCUUCCAGUGGGGACACAAACAAGUCUCUUUAAUUCAUUAUCGAAGGGAUGUUCUCAGCUGGGGAUGAAGUCAGCAAUCUUCAACAGGAGAUGAUCCAGCAGUCUUCAUCAGGAGAUGAAGAGUGGCACCGCAUCGGAGAGAAGGCUGUUAUGCAACACAAAUCUUCAAAAACUUCCCUUUUUGUGACAGAGUGAAUAGCACAAUGGCUAAUGUGGUUUACACAUAGGGAUCUUGCAGACCUUUGCUGCUCAUUCCUUGUGAUUUUCAAGAACAAGUGUUAGGGUUCCACUGACACUAGGCAUUUGCAGAUGUGGAUAGGUGCAGGGGGAUCUUGGAAGAUGAGUUCACUGCUAGAAGGCAGUGGAGGACUGAAACAAGGUGAAGCAGCUGAAAUAACCAAAUAUGGGAUGACAUAAGAAGCUAUUAGUGGAUUAUCAACUAACCUCCUCGUCUAAAAAAAUAGAUGUCCAGUCUGAACUAGCAGUCGAAACACUUUCUCUAGUCCAGAGAGAGAAACCAGCACCUCCAAAGGACAGCUGCUAGCUAUUUUAGAUACUUGGCAUAAGAUGAUUAGAACUGCUGUGAUGAUGAACAAAGAUUAGCUGUCUAAGUCCAGUUGAGACGAAUCCCUCCUUUUUUCACGCGCUGAAACUGGGAAGGGAGCUUUGUGGUCACACCAUGCCUUGCCAGACAGCCUCUGUGUGAAGCUUGGAGCUGCCUGCUUGUUUAGCGAGAUAACAGUUUGGUGCAGGCCUUGCAGUCUAAGGAAAGGAAAUGACAGACAGCUUUCCCACAAUUUGCAGUCUCGUUUGAAAAAAAAAAUAUCACUCUGACAAGAUAAUAACGUGUUAAAAUGAAAAC
rnacentral:lncRNA from 1 species